GUGUCAGCAGCCGCGGUAAGACGAGCUCUCCAAACGUUAUUCGGUAUUACUGGGCUUAAAGAGUUCGUAGGCGGUCGCGUAGGUGAGGUGUGAAAGCCCUCGGCUUAACCGAGGAAUUGCGCUUCAAACCGCGUGGCUAGAGGAAGGUAGGGGUAUGCGGAACAGAUGGUGGAGCGGUGAAAUGCGUUGAUAUCAUCUGGAACACCGGUGGCGAAAGCGGCAUACUGGACCUUAUCUGACGCUGAGGAACGAAAGCUAGGGUAGCGAACGGGAUUAGAAACCCGUGUAGUCC
rnacentral:rRNA from 1 species